UUCCACCAUAUUGCUUACACCCAUCAGAUAUUGCGGUAAAUGUGUAGCUAGCUAUGGUUAGUGUUUGAUUUCACACUGGGUUGUUUGGCCAGCUGGAAAAUAAUCCGCGUAGGCGCAGUCGAAACCUGGGGGGCGCUUAAACUCUAGUUGGUCUAUAGCCCACCCGAGAUUCAGCAAAUUGAGCAUAGCGCGGAGGGACAAACUCGGAAUUAAACUUGAUUACAUAUGUCGCUUUAGCUAGUUAUUCUGAUGUUCAAACCUGCUAGUGUAGACAGCGAGCUACAAUUUAUAUACCACAUUUAUAAAAGCAAGACCAAAGACGCACCGAGCGAGCUAACUUACUGGCCAAGUAACAUGGCAAGCUAACGUAUGUAGCUGGUCAGGAAGAAUACAGGACGUUGCGGUUGUUUUGCUCGUGUACCAUUUUAGCUAACCGGCUAGUCGGCAGUUCAUUUUCAGUUUAACUCGCGGAUUCGUACCUCUGCCGUGGAGGGAAACUGGCCUACGCUAUCUAGCAAUCUAGAGUUGGCAAAGCCAGCUCGCUGAUAACGUUCUCAUUACAACGGAGGGUCGAUAGUGUAUUAUAGUUAAUUAUAUUUAACUAGAGAGCGUUUUUUUAUCCCUCUAAAGAGGACGUUUGGACUGCUGCUAUCGGCGUGGCCAAAGUUUCGUAGAAUCCCCGGAUUAGAUUUGACCGUCUACUUGUGGGAACAAACCUAGCUUUGGCUCGUAUAGCCCUCUAACUUGACAGCUCAUCCUUCCACUGCACAGCUCCGUGUGUAACUGGCAGACCACUUUUCUCCAUUGAGUGGAAUAGGCGUACCAAUGUAAGAUAGCUUGUGAAUGCAGGGUUACCUUUUCACGUGAAUAGCUGUUAUUUCAGAUACUUGUGAAUCCAGAACUUUGAACAGUACUUAUAUUCUAUUGAUAGGUAGCUAACUACUAACGUUAUAUUCCUACUACCUGGACUAGGUAUGGUAUUUCAUUGACGAUUGAGUAACUUCAGCUAGCUGGAUAGCUAGCUAGUUAGCUAGCUAGAACUUUAGCUCGCUAGCUAACUAGCUAGUUUAAUUACUCCUAGCUAGCUAACGUUAGCCCCGAGCUAAGGCUACGUAUGAAUAACUUUUUGAUAAGUUGGCUAGCUAACUAAAUUAGCUACACAAACAAUAUAGUCCCCAGUUCAGCAAUAACAAACACGGAGGACAGAUGUACAGUGAGUUUUGAGAUUCUGUUAAGAAGUUACCCCCCGAAAAUCUGUUAAGAUGUCAACCCGGACGCCAUUAUUAACAAUUGAACAUUCGUCAAACCAGUCUCACUCAGAGUCUAAGGCAGGCGGGCGUCCUAAUAUGCCGCGGUGCCGGAAUUCUGUCGCCACGACGCCAGACGAGCAGCCACACAUUGGCAACUACCGUCUGCUCAAAACCAUCGGCAAGGGCAACUUUGCCAAAGUCAAACUGGCUCGUCAUGUCCUCACAGGGAAAGAGGUGGCUGUGAAAAUCAUAGACAAAACGCAGCUCAACUCUUCCAGUCUCCAAAAGCUGUUUCGUGAAGUGAGGAUCAUGAAGCUGCUCAAUCACCCAAAUAUCGUUAAGUUAUUUGAAGUUAUUGAGACAGAGAAGACUCUGUACUUGAUCAUGGAGUAUGCCAGUGGAGGUGAGGUGUUUGAUUACCUUGUUGCUCACGGGAGAAUGAAAGAGAAAGAGGCCAGAGCCAAAUUUAGACAGAUUGUGUCAGCGGUACAGUACUGCCACCAGAAGUGCAUCGUACACAGAGACCUGAAGGCAGAGAAUCUACUCCUAGAUGCUGACAUGAACAUCAAGAUCGCAGACUUUGGUUUCAGCAAUGAGUUCACCAUGGGGAACAAGCUGGACACGUUCUGUGGCUCUCCUCCCUACGCCGCCCCGGAGCUGUUCCAGGGGAAGAAAUAUGACGGCCCCGAGGUGGACGUCUGGAGCCUGGGUGUCAUCCUCUACACACUGGUCAGCGGAUCUCUGCCUUUCGACGGACAGAACCUAAAGGAGCUGCGCGAACGGGUUCUGCGGGGGAAGUAUAGGAUUCCCUUCUACAUGUCCACAGACUGCGAGAACCUGCUCAAGAAGUUCCUCAUUCUCAACCCAACCAAGAGGGGCAGCCUGGAGCAGAUCAUGAAGGACCGCUGGAUGAACGUAGGCCAUGAGGAGGAGGAGCUGAAGCCCUUCAUCGAGCCCCAGCCAGACUACAAGGACCCCAAGAGGACAGAUAUCAUGUUGCAGAUGGGCUACUCUGCGGAGGAGAUCCAGGACUCGCUCGUCAACCAAAAAUACAAUGACGUCAUGGCCACAUAUCUAUUACUGGAUUACAGGAACUCUGAGAUGGACGAAUGCAUCAGCCUAUCAAUGAAACCCCGCCCAGGAAGUGAUCUCACAAACAGCAAUGCCCAAUCCCCUUCUCACAAGGUGCAGCGCAGUACCUCAUCCAAUCAGAAGCCCCGGAGAGCAACAGAUGCAGGUUCUUCAGCUUCUAAGCGUUCCCAGGGCGACAACAAGCACACAGCAGAGGAUUAUGGGAGGAAAGGUUCUGGCACUGGCAGCUCCACUAAAGUCCCUCCCAGUCCCUUAGCUGCAGCAGAUCGUAAGAGGAGCACCCCAACCCCCUCCACCAACAGCAUCCUGUCCACUGGUACGAGUCGCAGUCGAAACUCGCCAGUCCCUGAGAGAGCCACACUUGGGGUCCAGAACGGAAUGGACAGCCUAACCACCCCAGGGUCCCGCGCCCUCGGCAGCCGCAGUUCUCUCUUCCUCCUCCCGCCCCCGACACCACAAGUCCCUGUCCACCUCUGCCCAUCCCACCCUCUCAGACAUCCACGCACACCGGCCCAGCACUGCCCCUCUGAGAGUACCAGUGGCGUCUCCCUCUGCCCACAACGUCAGCAGUUCCACGGCGACUGAGCGAUCCAACUUCCCCAGAAAUGUGGCCACCAGAAGCACUUUCAGUGCUGGGCAGCAGAGGGCGACGCGGGACCAGCAUGCCUCCACCUACAAUGGUCCCCCAGCAUCCCCCUCCCUCUCCUAUGGGAACAGCCAGGCCCGAAGAGCUGGGGGCACUGGUAUCUUCAGCAAGUUCACCUCUAAAUUUGUGCGCAGAAAUCUCUCAUUCAGAUUCCCCAGAAGCCCGUAUGAGGGAGAGGGUCGAGAUGAGGCCAACAGACCCAUGUUGACCACUGCUGAGAAGCUGGAGAAGGGCACCCUGGGCUCUGCAGGAGACGAGAACAAAGAAUCCCUGUCCUCCACCUCUACGGUGCCCAGCACCACGACCCCGGGCCUGAUCUCCAAGGACAACAAGCCCCGCUCGCUGCGCUUCACCUGGAGCAUGAAAACCACCUCCUCCAUGGAGCCCAACGAGAUGAUGAAGGAGAUCCGGAAGGUUCUGGACUCCAACAGCUGCGAGUAUGAGCUGCGAGAGCGCUACAUGCUGCUGUGUGUGUCUGGGAAUCCCGCCCGUGAUGACUUUGUCGAGUGGGAGAUGGAGGUGUGCAAGCUGCCCCGCCUCUCCCUUAACGGGGUUCGCUUUAAGCGCAUUUCUGGCACAUCCAUCGCCUUCAAGAACAUCGCCUCCAAGGUUGCCAAUGAGCUCAAACUGUGAGCUUGUGGAAGAGAGGUAGUGAUGAUAACAAUGAGUUGGACGGUGGAUGGAGAUGGACUGGAGCACAAAGGCAAAGAGGCUGAACUUUGAGACUGAACUGAGAGCUUUUGAGAUGAAGGCAAAGGAGGAUGGAGAGACUUUUUGGGUGGGUGGGGGGGAGCAAAGUGGCUAGGGGGAGGUUGUGUGUGUGUAUAGACCGUUUUGAGGGGAUUGUUAAUUUUCUUGGGAGGGGAUGUUUUUUUUUCAGUUUGGGGUUUCUGGCCCCUCUCGCCCCUCUGACUUUUCUGUUGUCUUCUGAGACCGUUUUGUUUCUCUUAAACCUCAAUCAUCUUUGUCCAAAAUACAUUUAUUGGUGGAAAAUAUGAAAGGAAAUGAGUAAAAAAAAUGUAUAAACUGAUUUGUAGGUUUUCUUAUUUUUAUUUUGAGGCCAAAAUGGCCCUGGACUCAGCCAGCUGUAACCCUCAGGCCUUUCUCCCUUGCUUAUCCUGCACCAAGCCCAAUCUAUGGUCUAAGCACCAUGUUACUGUACUUGAGUAUCUUGCCCCCAUUUUCAGCUGUCUGUUUUGAACAGAUGAAGAGAGCUGCAGUUUGACACUGAAUGUACAACAUGAUUUGACUAAUGUAUCUGAGGUACAACGCAUAUUCACUACAGCUGUAAAUUGGUUUUCAUAUCAUGUUCUAAUUUUAAUCAGCUAAUGACAGUUGCACAAGGUGUUUCCGUGUGGUCCAGAAAGCUUCUGCCAUUUUUUACAUCAUUGUACAGUGUCUUACUUGAGGCUACCAUGGACAUGCAGACUUGAACUCUUUGCACUCUGAUUGCGAGCCUUCACCUGCCUGCUUCCCAAGCCCCUUCAAAAAACUUUUUUUUUUAUACAGCAGGGGUAAUUUAUCUGAUUAAAUAAUUAAGGGCCAAUUGAUAAUUAUUGGUGGAUUGUAAUGUAAUUAAGAGUUGCUGGUUGGUUUCAAUGUGCUUCACUGGAAUGUCUGAGUCAGAGUUCCUUUGCCUUUCUCUGGAGAAAAUAAUUAUUAAUAUUGUUAUUAUAAGAAUAAACAAAGUUGGAUGAUA